rnacentral:rRNA from 1 species
AUUGAACGCUGGCGGCAGGCCUAACACAUGCAAGUCGAGCGGAUGAAGGGAGCUUGCUCCUGGAUUCAGCGGCGGACGGGUGAGUAAUGCCUAGGAAUCUGCCUGGGAGUGGGGGAUAACGUCCGGAAACGGGCGCUAAUACCGCAUACGACCUGAGGGAGAAAGUGGGGGAUCUUCGGACCUCACGCUAUCAGAGGAGCCUAGGUCGGAUUAGCUAGUUGGUGGGGUAAAGGCCUACCAAGGCGACGAUCCGUAACUGGUCUGAGAGGAUGAUCAGUCACACUGGAACUGAGACACGGUCCAGACUCCUACGGGAGGCAGCAGUGGGGAAUAUUGGACAAUGGGCGAAAGCCUGAUCCAGCCAUGCCGCGUGUGUGAAGAAGGUCUUCGGAUUGUAAAGCACUUUAAGUUGGGAGGAAGGGCAGUAAGUUAAUACCUUGCUGUUUUGACGUUACCAACAGAAUAAGCACCGGCUAACUUCGUG